CUAAGUUUGAUGGCGACCGGCGCACGGGUGAGUAACACGUAUCCAACCUGCCGAUGACUCGGGGAUAGCCUUUCGAAAGAAAGAUUAAUACCCGAUAGCAUAAUGAUUCCGCAUGGUUUCAUUAUUAAAGGAUUCCGGUAAAGGAUGGGGAUGCGUUCCAUUAGGUUGUUGGUGAGGUAACGGCUCACCAAGCCUUCGAUGGAUAGGGGUUCUGAGAGGAAGGUCCCCCACAUUGGAACUGAGACACGGUCCAAACUCCUACGGGAGGCAGCAUG
rnacentral:rRNA from 1 species